GCGAACGCUGGCGGCAGGCCUAACACAUGCAAGUCGAACGAACCUUUCGGGGUUAGUGGCGGACGGGUGAGUAACACGUGGGAACGUGCCUUUAGGUUCGGAAUAACUCAGGGAAACUUGUGCUAAUACCGAAUGUGCCCUUCGGGGGAAAGAUUUAUCGCCUUUAGAGCGGCCCGCGUCUGAUUAGCUAGUUGGUUGAGGUAAUGGCUCACCAAGGCGACGAUCAGUAGCUGGUCUGAGAGGAUGAUCAGCCACAUUGGGACUGAGACACGGCCCAAACUCCGACGGGAAGCAGCAGUGGGGAAUCUUGCGCAAUGGGCGAAAGCCUGACGCAGCCAUGCCGCGUGAAUGAUGAAGGUCUUAGGAUUGUAAAAUUCUUUCACCGGGGACGAUAAUGACGGUACCCGGAGAAGAAGCCCCGGCUAACUUCGUG
rnacentral:rRNA from 1 species